rnacentral:misc_RNA from 1 species
AAGAUUACAACCCUUAAUUACAGUUAUAAUUAUUGUACAAGAUUCUAACCUUGAUUAUGCACAUAAUCACUACAAGUCUGGUUUAUAAUCACUACAAAUCUAGUCUAUUUACAGUAACUAUCUCAACAUGACCAAACAUGAUAAUUGAUUCUAUCAAACUUUAUAAGAUUGAUUUGAAAAGAGGGAUUAUCACUAAAACAUUUGCAUUACCCUUAUACUUGCUUUCUUCCCUUCAGUCAUUU